GACGAACGCUGGGGCGUGCCUAAUACAUGCAAGUCGAACGCACUCUCGUUUAGAUUGAAGGAGCUUGCUCCUGAUUGAUAAACAUUUGAGUGAGUGGCGGACGGGUGAGUAACACGUGGGUAACCUGCCCUAAAGUGGGGAUAACAUUUGGAAACAGAUGCUAAUACCGCAUAAAACCUAACACCGCAUGGUGUAGGGUUGAAAGAUGGUUUCGGCUAUCACUUUAGGAUGGACCCGCGGUGCAUUAGUUAGUUGGUGAGGUAAAGGCUCACCAAGACCGUGAUGCAUAGCCGACCUGAGAGGGUAAUCGGCCACACUGGGACUGAGACACGGCCCAGACUCCUACGGGAGCAGCAGUAGGGAAUCUUCCACAAUGGACGAAAGUCUGAUGGAGCAACGCCGCGUGAGUGAAGAAGGUUUUCGGAUCGUAAAACUCUGUUGUUGGAGAAGGAAUGUAUCUGAUAGUAACUGAUCAGGUAGUGACGGUAUCCGAACCAGAAAGCCACGGCUAAC
rnacentral:rRNA from 1 species